GUACACUCCUGCGGGAGGCAGCAGUGGGGAAUAUUGAACAAUGGGCGCAAGCCUGAUCCAGCCAUGCCGCGUGAGUGAUGAAGGCCCUAGGGUUGUAAAGCUCUUUCACCGGUGAAGAUAAUGACGGUAACCGGAGAAGAAGCCCCGGCUAACUUCGUGCCAGCAGCCGCGGUAAUACGAAGGGGGCUAGCGUUGUUCGGAUUUACUGGGCGUAAAGCGCACGUAGGCGGACUAUUAAGUCAGGGGUGAAAUCCCGGGGCUCAACCCCGGAACUGCCUUUGAUACUGGUAGUCUUGAGUUCGGGAGAGGUGAGUGGAAUUCCGAGUGUAGAGGUGAAAUUCGUAGAUAUUCGGAGGAACACCAGUGGCGAAGGCGGCUCACUGGCUCGAUACUGACGCUGAGGUGCGAAAGCGUGGGGAGCAAACAGGAUUAGAUACCCCUGUAGUCCCA
rnacentral:rRNA from 1 species